rnacentral:rRNA from 1 species
UGGGGAAUAUUGGGCAAUGGGCGCAAGCCUGACCCAGCAACGCCGCGUGAAGGAAGAAGGCUUUCGGGUUGUAAACUUCUUUUACCAGGGACGAAGAAAGUGACGGUACCUGGAGAAUAAGCCACGGCUAACUACGUGCCAGCAGCCGCGGUAAUACGUAGGUGGCGAGCGUUGUCCGGAUUUACUGGGUGUAAAGGGCGCGUAGGCGGGAAUGCAAGUCAGAUGUGAAAUCCAUGGGCUUAACCCAUGAACUGCAUUUGAAACUGUAUUUCUUGAGUGUCGGAGAGGUAGACGGAAUUCCUA